ACUUAAAUUGAAGAGUUUGAUCAUGGCUCAGAUUGAACGCUGGCGGCAGGCCUAACACAUGCAAGUCGAGCGGUAGCACAGAGAGCUUGCUCUCGGGUGACGAGCGGCGGACGGGUGAGUAAUGUCUGGGAAACUGCCUGAUGGAGGGGGAUAACUACUGGAAACGGUAGCUAAUACCGCAUAAUGUCGCAAGACCAAAGUGGGGGACCUUCGGGCCUCAUGCCAUCAGAUGUGCCCAGAUGGGAUUAGCUAGUAGGUGGGGUAAUGGCUCACCUAGGCGACGAUCCCUAGCUGGUCUGAGAGGAUGACCAGCCACACUGGAACUGAGACACGGUCCAGACUCCUACGGGAGGCAGCAGUGGGGAAUAUUGCACAAUGGGCGCAAGCCUGAUGCAGCCAUGCCGCGUGUGUGAAGAAGGCCUUCGGGUUGUAAAGCACUUUCAGCGGGGAGGAAGGCGAUAAGGUUAAUAACCUUGUCGAUUGACGUUACCCGCAGAAGAAGCACCGGCUAACUCCGUGCCAGCAGCCGCGGUAAUACGGAGGGUGCAAGCGUUAAUCGGAAUUACUGGGCGUAAAGCGCACGCAGGCGGUCUGUCAAGUCGGAUGUGAAAUCCCCGGGCUCAACCUGGGAACUGCAUUCGAAACUGGCAGGCUAGAGUCUUGUAGAGGGGGGUAGAAUUCCAGGUGUAGCGGUGAAAUGCGUAGAGAUCUGGAGGAAUACCGGUGGCGAAGGCGGCCCCCUGGACAAAGACUGACGCUCAGGUGCGAAAGCGUGGGGAGCAAACAGGAUUAGAUACCCUGGUAGUCCACGCCGUAAACGAUGUCGAUUUGGAGGUUGUGCCCUUGAGGCGUGGCUUCCGGAGCUAACGCGUUAAAUCGACCGCCUGGGGAGUACGGCCGCAAGGUUAAAACUCAAAUGAAUUGACGGGGGCACGCACAAGCGGAGGAGAAUGUGGUUUAAUACGAUGCAACGGGAGGAACCUUACCUGGUCUUGACAUCCACCGUACUUUCCUGGGAUUGAUUGGUGCCUUCGGGAACUGUGAGACAGGUGCUGCAUGGCUGUCGUCAGCUCGUGUUGUGAAAUGUUGGGUUAAGUCCCGCAACGAGCGCAACCCUUAUCCUUUGUUGCCAGCGGUUAGGCCGGGAACUCAAAGGAGACUGCCAGUGAUAAACUGGAGGAAGGUGGGGAUGACGUCAAGUCAUCAUGGCCCUUACGACCAGGGCUACACACGUGCUACAAUGGCAUAUACAAAGAGAAGCGACCUCGCGAGAGCAAGCGGACCUCAUAAAGUAUGUCGUAGUCCGGAUUGGAGUCUGCAACUCGACUCCAUGAAGUCGGAAUCGCUAGUAAUCGUAGAUCAGAAUGCUACGGUGAAUACGUUCCCGGGCCUUGUACACACCGCCCGUCACACCAUGGGAGUGGGUUGCAAAAGAAGUAGGUAGCUUAACCUUCGGGAGGGCGCUUACCACUUUGUGAUUCAUGACUGGGGUGAAGUCGUAACAAGGUAACCGUAGGGGAACCUGCGGUUGGAUCACCUCCUUACCUUAAAGAA
rnacentral:rRNA from 1 species